UACGUAGGGGCCGAGCGUUGUCCGGAUUUAUUGGGCGUAAAGAGCUCGUAGGCGGCCAUUCAAGUCGAAUGUGAAAUCUCGAGGCUUAACCUCGAGCCUGCAUUCGAUACUGGGCGGCUAGAGUCUGGUAGGGGGAUCUGGAAUUCCUGGUGUAGCGGUGGAAUGCGCAGAUAUCAGGAGGAACACCGGUGGCGAAGGCGGGAUCCUGGGCCAGUACUGACGCUGAGGAGCGAAAGCGUGGGGAGCAAACAGG
rnacentral:rRNA from 1 species